rnacentral:rRNA from 1 species
GUCUGGCCUGCUCACUGAUAAUUUUGAAGAGCCGCGGUAUUUUGACCGUGCAAAGGUAGCAUAAUCAUUAGUCUCUUAAUUAGAGGCUGGAAUGAAUGGCUUGACGAGAAAUUAACUGUCUCUUAAUAAAUUUUUGAAUUUAACUUUUAAGUUAAAAGGCUUAAAUAAUUCUUUAGGACGAGAAGACCCUAUAGAGCUUGACAUUUUAUUUAUAUUUAGUUUUAUGUUAGUCUUUCUAUAUUUAAUGAUAAUGUUUUGUUGGGGUGACAUGAAGAAUUAAUAAACUCUUCAUUAAUGUAAUCAUUAAUUUAUGUUUAUUUUGAUCCAUAAUUUAUGAUCAUAAGAUUAAGUUACCUUAGGGAUAACAGCGU